AAGGGCGUGCAGCCGGGUCUGCAAGUCAGAUGUGAAAUCCACGGGCUCAACUCGUGAACUGCAUUUGAAACUGUAGAUCUUGAGUGUCGGAGAGGUAAUCGGAAUUCCUAGUGUAGCGGUGAAAUGCGUAGAUAUUAGGAAGAACACCAGUGGCGAAGGCGGAUUACUGGACGAUAACUGACGGUGAGGCGCGAAAGCGUGGGGAGCAAACAGGAUUAGAUACCCUGGUAGUCCACGCUGUAAAC
rnacentral:rRNA from 1 species